AAUAAUUGGAUGAUUACUGGUCGUUGAUCUUGCUAGUUAACAGUGAAAUGUAUUUAAUGUAAAAUAUUUAUACUUUCAAUAGAUAAUAAGUAAUAUUCAUAGACCAUAGCAUAUUAUCAUUAUUCAACAAGUAAAAGAAAAAAAAAAUGAACAUUUGAACUUAAAAUGAUUACUAAAAUUAUCAUUUGCGAUUUGCAAAUACAGAGCAUAGAUCAUAUUGUAUCUAAGAUUUAUUCCUUAAAUCUCAGCAGAUGUAUCACCAGAUAGCCGAUUUGGUUUAACAAUUUGUCACAAAAUCGUUAGGUUAUUGUGGAUUUUAUUGACUAUUUGAAUGAAUGGAAAUCAGAUAUUCCAGAUAAAAAUUUCCUAGUCAAACAGAAAAAGGAAUAUCUUGCUUCAUGAGUUACGACUUAAUGAAUUAAUCAAGAUAUAUUAGAGAUUUUUUUUGGUUGUGUAUAUCUAGCAUAUGGUUGGUUCCAAUCAGAAUCCAGAUUCAAAACAAUUAAUUUGAGUUUAUUGGUUAUUAUCAUUUUAUUCACUAAUAUAAGAUAUAACCACCAAGAGAAAGUAAUGUGAGAGAUAGAAAAGCUUUGAAUUCUCUUGUCAACAAUUAAUAUUUCAUCAAAAGAAGAUAAACAACAUAAAUUAUACCUAGAAAUAGAUAAUUGGAUAACAUUUUAGACAAUGGCGAAUAAUUAUAUUUAUUUUUAUUGAUACUUUUAUUAAGAAUGUUGUUGCCACUGCCAUUUUCAGUAUUUAAAAAAAAAAACAUAGACUUAUAUCUGAAGUAUACAAGAGUUCAGCAAACAAAAGUCAAAGAUUAUCAAAUCAAUUAUGGACCGAUAUAUGAAAGAUUCCACCUCAUAGGAUUUUGGGUGCCUAGAAAAAUCUUGGAAUUAACUGUACCUCUAUAAAUACUGUGAAUUCAACGAUCUACAGUUGUCUAAGUUAGCUGUGUUGAGUGGAACCCUUCGAUGUGAAAGAUACAGCUUUUCAAAACCAUUUUUAAGAUUUAAGAACUGGUGUAGUGAAAUUUGAAUAAUAAUAGGUUAUUACUUAUUUAUAUUCAAUCAUUAAGAUAACGUUUUGAAUGUGCUAUAAUAUAUUAUUGUUCAUUUUAUUUGGUUGGUGCCAUUUUUUAAUGUUAAGGUUUUUGUAAUUCCCCAUAUGAACAAACCUUAAAUGGAUUGUUUAAAAGUAUUUCACUAAAUACAGGUUUAAAUUUAAAAAUAUAUCUGUUGUAAUAAUGUGUUAUACUUGCUGUAUAGUGAUUGACGAUUGUGUUGUAUUUAUGAUUUUAUUAGUGUUAGACGAGUACUUGACUUUGGAAAUAUGUCCGUGUCGAGUUCGAGUCGAAUAUUUGAAAUUUGUCGAGUACUUGAAUUUUUUCAUACUUGAAAUUUAUCGUGUACUCAAAUUUUSAACUCGACUCGACUUGAAAUAAUUGAAACUCAACUCAAAAUUAAAAAUCAAUAUUCGCUCAACGCUAGA